AUUGAACGCUGGCGGCAGGCCUAACACAUGCAAGUCGAACGGUAACAGGAAGCAGCUUGCUGCUUCGCUGACGAGUGGCGGACGGGUGAGAAAUGUCUGGGAAGCUGCCUGAUGGAGGGGGAUAACUACUGGAAACGGUAGCUAAUACCGCAUAAUGUCGCAAGACCAAAGAGGGGGACCUUCGGGCCUCUUGCCAUCGGAUGUGCCCAGAUGGGAUUAGCUUGUUGGUGGGGUAACGGCUCACCAAGGCGACGAUCCCUAGCUGGUCUGAGAGGAUGACCAGCCACACUGGAACUGAGACACGGUCCAGACUCCUACGGGAGGCAGCAGUGGGGAAUAUUGCACAAAGGGCGCAAGCCUGAUGCAGCCAUGCCGCGUGUAUGAAGAAGGCCUUCGGGUUGUAAAGUACUUUCAGCGGGGAGGAAGGGAGUAAAGUUAAUACCUUUGCUCAUUGACGUUACCCGCAGAAGAAGCACCGGCUAACUCCGUG
rnacentral:rRNA from 1 species